CCUACGGGAGGCAGCAGUGAGGAAUAUUGGUCAAUGGGCGAGAGCCUGAACCAGCCACGUCGCGUGAAGGAUGACGGCCCUACGGGUUGUAAACUUCUUUUGUCAGGGAGCAAUUGAGUCUACGCGUGGCCUUAGCGCGAGCACCUGAAGAAAAAGCAUCGGCUAACUCCGUGGCAGCAGAAGCGGUAAUAGGGAGGAUGCGAUGGUUAUCCGGAUUUAUUGGGUUAAAAGGGUGCGUAGGCGGAAUAUCAAGUCAGCGGUAAAACUUCGGGGCUCAACCCCGUCGUGCCGUUGAAACUGAUUGUCUUGAGUGGGCGAGAGGAAGGCGGAAUGCGUGGUGUAGCGGUGAAAUGCAUAGAUAUCACGAAGAACACCGAUUGCGAAGGCAGCAUACCGGCGCCCAACUGACGCGGAGGCACGAAAGCGUGGGUAUCGAACAGGAUUAGAUACCCCGGUAGUC
rnacentral:rRNA from 1 species